UACGAAGGUGGCGAGCGUUGUUCGGAUUCACUGGGCGUACAGGGAGCGUAGGCGGUUAGGUAAGCCCUCCGUGAAAUCUCCGGGCCUAACCCGGAAAGUGCAGAGGGGACUGCUUGGCUAGAGGAUGGGAGAGGAGCGCGGAAUUCCCGGUGUAGCGGUGAAAUGCGUAGAGAUCGGGAGGAAGGCCGGUGGCGAAGGCGGCGCUCUGGAACAUUUCUGACGCUGAGGCUCGAAAGCGUGGGGAGCAAACAGG
rnacentral:rRNA from 1 species